rnacentral:rRNA from 1 species
CCUACGGGGGGCAGCAGUGGGGAAUAUUGGACAAUGGGCGAAAGCCUGAUCCAGCCAUGCCGCGUGUGUGAAGAAGGCCUUCGGGUUGUAAAGCACUUUCAGUGGGGAAGAAAGCCUUGGGGCUAAUACCCUCGAGGAAGGACAUCACCCACAGAAGAAGCACCGGCUAACUCCGUGCCAGCAGCCGCGGUAAUACGGAGGGUGCGAGCGUUAAUCGGAAUUACUGGGCGUAAAGCGCGCGUAGGCGGUCUGAUAAGCCGGUUGUGAAAGCCCCGGGCUCAACCUGGGAACGGCAUCCGGAACUGUCAGGCUAGAGUGCAGGAGAGGAAGGUAGAAUUCCCGGUGUAGAGGUGAAAUGCGUAGAGAUCGGGAGGAAUACCAGUGGCGAAGGCGGCCUUCUGGACUGACACUGACGCUGAGGUGCGAAAGCGUGGGUAGCAAACAGGAUUAGAUACCCUAUAGUC